rnacentral:lncRNA from 1 species
UUAGCUGUUAUUUUAUCCCCAGUCUCGUAGUUGUGCCAUUCCUCCUGACCACUUUUAACCAAAGGAUUGAUAAGAGGCUUGGAAAGGGAACAGAAUGGAUUUGUGAUCACCCAAUUGUGGUUUCCAGUAUUAUCUCUGUCACUUACAAGUGUGUGACCUCCGUCAAGUCAUUUACAGACUCUGAUUCUCAGUUUUCUCAUUCAGAGAAUUGCGUUAAGGGUAUCUAACUGGAAGAGUCUGGGCGAUGAUCGAUAACAGUAAAUUUGGGCACUUGAUCGGCGUUCAAAGUUAUCACCAUCAUUAUGACCUUCCCGGAGCUGCAAAUACUCCCCAAUAAUACCAAGUAAGCAACUGCAAAGACCCAGGGGUGGGAACCAGAAGUGGGUCCUGAACGUUAGAGGAGAGAUACCAGAGCUGCCUUGGACAGAGCGCAGGAUCCCCUGUUAGCUGAAAAACCAAUUGGGAAGCUUGACUGAGGAACAUCAGAGAUCCAGUCCCAGAGCCAGCGGCAGCUGGCCCCAUGCCUGGUUAUGCAGUUGUCUGGAUCCCUCUUUACAACCCUUGCACCAGUAGCCAGGCACACACCCUACAGAGAAAAGAAGUCUCUUGGCUUAGAACCGGACCAUCUCAAGAGGAAACAUCCAAAGAAAUCGACUUCAGAAGAUCCCAGAUUACACUCUUGGGUGCCCCAAAGGAGGAGAUCAGACUGGAGUGAGGGGCAGGAGCCCACAAGGAAAACACUCAAGGAAGAACCAGACAGAAAGAAUAGCACUCUUGGACGAGGCGACUGGAACCAGAUUUGGAGGAAAUAGCAAGAAAACUGGAAUUAGGAGUGGACCCUCAAGACAUGACUGAAUUGCUGGAAUCUCAUGGUAAAAUGUUAACAGAUGAAGAGUUGAUUCUUAUGGAUGAGCAAAAAAAAAAAAAUGGUUAUUGAUAUAGAAACUUCUCCUGGUGAAGAUGCUGUGAAGAUUAUUGAAGCUACAACAAAGGACUUUACAUAAAAUUAAUUGGUAAAAACAGUGGCAGGUUUUGAGUGGAU